CCUCCUGCCUCAGCCUCCCAGGCCACUGAGAUUACAGGCACGUGCCACCACACCUGGCAGAAACAGCCUUUUGAUGCUACAGCAUGUAAGGCCUGCAGGAGUUCAGAGGGGCUGAUGGCGAAGUGAGCCAUCUUCACUGCCUGAACUCCCCAUCUUCCCAAGGUGAACCUCAGCACCCAGGAAGCACCAGCCCUGAGCCCUAGCACCCUUCUGCUUCCUGUCUGUAUUUGAGCACUCCAGCCCCAUUGUGUAAGUGGAAUCCACUGUUUGUCCUUUUAAGAAUGUAUUUCACUCAGCAGUGUCCUCUAGUGCACCUAUGUUGUACCAUGUGAUGGGAUUUCCGCCCUUCUCAAAGGCAGAAUGCUGCUCCAGCAUGCCUACACCUACACACACUAUGGCUUGUCACUCACCCCUCUGUGGGCACUGGGUGGCUCCACCUCCUGGCUGUUUUGCGUAAUGCAGCUGUGACAGGCUUAUGGUUUUUGUUUUUUUACUAUACUGUGGAUUGAAGCCAGGGCCUCACACACACUAAGCCAGCCUUCUGCUGCUGGGUUACUUCCUCCACCUAGUGUUUUGUUUUUAUGAUGGGUGCAAUUACAUUGAGCUUACUGGAUGAUGGAAUGACGCAGAGGAUCUGGGAUGCAGGAGAUGGUACAGUAUUGUCGCAAGAGGGCAAAAUUGCGACGUAUGCAGUCGAGGGGAGAAAUAAAAAUGUCCAUGUGCUUCUGCUC